rnacentral:rRNA from 1 species
CCCCAGUAACGGCGAGUGAAGCGGCAACAGCUCAAAUUUGAAAUCUGGCCCCCCCCCGGGGGGGCCCGAGUUGUAAUUUGCAGAGGAUGCUUUGGGCGAGGCGCCUUCCGAGUUCCCUGGAACGGGACGCCACAGAGGGUGAGAGCCCCGUCUGGUCGGACGCCGAGCCUCUGUAAAGCUCCUUCGACGAGUCGAGUAGUUUGGGAAUGCUGCUCAAAAUGGGAGGUAUAUGUCUUCUAAAGCUAAAUACCGGCCAGAGACCGAUAGCGCACAAGUAGAGUGAUCGAAAGAUGAAAAGCACCUUGAAAAGGGGGUUAAACAGUACGUGAAAUUGUUGAAAGGGAAGCGCUCGUGACCAGACUUGGGGCGGGCGGAUCAGCCGGCGUUCUCGCCGGCGCACUCCGCCCGUCCCAGGCCAGCAUCAGUUCGCGCCGGGGGACAAAGGCGGCGGGAACGUGGCUCCCCAGGGAGUGUUAUAGCCCGCCGCGCCAUGCCCCGGGGGCGGACUGAGGGCCGCGCAUCACUGCAAGGAUGCUGGCGUAAUGGUCACCAGCGACCCGUCUUGAAACACGGGCCAAGGAGUCGUCCUCGUAUGCGAGUGUUCGGGUGUCAAACCCCUACGCGGAAUGAAAGUGAACGUGGGUGAGAGCUUCGGCGCAUCAUCGACCGAUCCUGAUGUUCUCGGAUGGAUUUGAGUAGGAGCAUACGGGGCCGGACCCGAAAGAAGGUGAACUAUGCCUGUGUAGGGUGAAGCCAGAGGAAACUCUGGUGGAGGCUCGCAGCGGUUCUGACGUGCAAAUCGAUCGUCAAACAUGGGCAUGGGGGCGAAAGACUAAUCGA